rnacentral:lncRNA from 1 species
UCACUAGCUAUCAACAUUGAGACAAGACCAUCCAGCAGCAAAAUGAUGAUGACUUACUGAAGGCCCAGAUGAUGGUUAGCAGUUUUUGGCAAUCACGUAUUUUCAAAGAACCCUGGCCAUGGGAGCUAUCUCAGCCUAAUGCUCUCCCAUUACGAAAUUUUACACCUUCUUUCUGUAUCAGGUGAUGGGGUUUCACCACGUUGGCCAGGUUAGUCUCGA